CCCUUAGAUGUUCUGGGCCGCGCGCGCGCUACACUGAUGAAUUCAACGAGCACUAACCUGUGCAGAAAUGUUCGGGUAAUCUUGUGAAAUUUCAUCGUGAUGGGGAUUGAUUAUUGCAAUUAUUAAUCAUAAACGAGGAAUGCCUAGUAAGCGUGAGUCAUCAGCUCACGUUGAUUACGUCCCUGCCCUUUGUACACACCGCCCGUCGCUCCUACCGAUUGAAUGUGCUGGUGAAAAGUUCGGAUUGGGAAUAGGAGACGGCAACGUAUCCUGUUUCUGAGAAAAUCUUUAAACCCUCCCAUUUAGAGGAAGGAGAAGUCGUAACA
rnacentral:rRNA from 1 species